rnacentral:rRNA from 1 species
UGGGGAAUCUUGCGCAAUGGCCUAACGGCUGACGCAGCGACGCCGCGUGAGGGAUGACGCUCUUCGGAGUGUAAACCUCUUUUGCCCGGGACGAAUUGCCAACUUCAGUUGGCUUGACGGUACCGGGUGAAUAAGCACCGGCUAACUCCGUGCCAGCAGCCGCGGUAAUACGGGGGGUGCGAGCGUUGUCCGGAAUCACUGGGCGUAAAGGGCGCGUAGGUGGUCUUAUAAGGGUGUGGUGAAAGCCCGGGGCUCAACCCCGGGUCGGCCGUGCCGACUGUAAGACUAGAGUGCUGUAGGGGCAGGCGGAAUUCCGGGUGUAGCGGUGGAAUGCGUAGAGAUCCGGAGGAAGACCGGUGGCGAAGGCGGCCUGCUGGGCAGAUACUGACACUGAGGCGCGACAGCGUGGGGAGCAAACAG